rnacentral:rRNA from 1 species
UACGGAGGGUGCGAGCGUUGUCCGGAAUCAUUGGGCGUAAAGGGCGCGUAGGUGGCCCCUCAAGCGGGCGGUGAAAGUCGGGGGCUCAACCCCCGAUCGGCCGUGCGAACUGGGGGGCUGGAGCACUGUAGAGGCAGGCGGAAUUCCGGGUGUAGCGGUGGAAUGCGUAGAGAUGUGGAGGAAUACCGAUGGCGAAGGCAGCCCCCUGGGAUAAUACUGACGCUCAGGCACGAAAGCGUGGGGAGCAAACAGG